AUUUUAAAAUCGCUGCCACGGGCCAGAUCUUCGCUUUCCUCACUCGAGUCGAUUUUCAUAAUCGGGAAAGGAAAGGAAAAGAGAGGAAAGGAAAGGAAUUGAAAUCCAUAAUUCCGGCACUAAAACAAAGAAUACCCAAUUUCUGAGCCUCACAGAUUCACAAUUCUAGAUUUCACCCUCCAUCGUUUGUGCUCACAAAUCAUAUCUAGCGCGCCUUGUCGAAGCGAAAAAACUCCAAAACAAAACCCUAGCCCUAGAUUUGCUAUACAAUCAAAAACAACAAACAAUGGCUAGCGAUGCUGAUGCCUCUCGUCGCAAGCACCGUCGAUCACCCUCAGAUGAGGAGGCGGAUAAGUCCUCGAAGCGACACAAACAUCGCCACCACCGUCGCCACCACCACCGCUCGCACCGAAGCAAAAAGCACGGUGAGGAAAGUAAACAAGGUGGUGAAGAAACUGCUCCACCUUCUCCUCCUCCGGUUCCUGUUACUGUUUUUGGUAAUUGUAAUGAUAGGAUUGAUGAUGAUGUGGAGGAAGGGGAGAUUUUGGAGGAGGAGGGUUCUGGUGGUGUAGGUGUAAAGGAUAUUGACUUACGCAGUGAAGGAGUCGGUUUUCAAAAUCUGGGAGUGAAUGCUGACAACAGUGACAGUGGUUUGACAAAUUCUAACAAAGCUAUCACGUUUGACACUAAGUUUAGCUUGCCAAAAGAUUCUAGGGCCAAGAUUCAAGAUGAAUUAGUUCCAAGAGAUGGCCUCAAAGUCGAUGCUAAUGGAGAUUUGGGUCAUGAAUAUUAUAGAGAUGGCAAGAAACGAUAUGACGAAUCUGGGUCCUCUUCUAAAGGAAGCCACAACCGAAAGAUUUAUGGUGAUGUUGAUGCAUCUACACCUGAAGGUGGUGAAAGCAAAUUAAGCGAUUGGGGGAGGUCUUCUUCUUCUGAGAGUGAGGGGCAUAAGCACAAGACGGUAGCAGCAGCAUCUCUUGAUAGGAACCAUGAUGAGGUUCUUGCAAGGAGUAGAUCUUUGUCUCGUGAUUUUGCUAGGGACAGAUCUCGGUCCCGCAGCAUUGUAGAAGAGGAGAUUCUUUUGAAGAGAAGGCGGCAUGAUGAAAGGGUUGAUAAUGAUUCUGAUGAUGAAAAAAUUGCUAGACGUCAUAGGUAUCUACGGUAUGGCAGUACAGAUUUAGACAGGGAGCAUGGUAACAGCUACACCAGAAACUUGGGACGGGAAGACAGUCAUAGCAGCUGGGAUGUGCAAGGCAGAGAGAUGAACAGGGAGAAGGAGAAAGAACGGAGAAGGGAGCAAGAACGAGAGAGGAGCAGGGACAGAGAUCAAAGAAGAGAGGAACGAGAGAGGAGCAGUGACAGGGGGCAGAGGAGAGAGAAGGAACGAGAGAGGAGCAGGGACAGGGAUCUUAGAAGAGAAAAGGAACGGGAGCAGAGCAGGGAUAGGGACUUAAGAAGAGUGAAGGACAGAGAGAGGAGCCGAGAUAGGGAUCUGAGAAGAGAGAAGGAGCAAGAGAGGAGCAAGUUCACAGAGAUUGACAGGGACUGGAGAAGAGAGAAGCAACUACAUAGGAGCUUGGAUAAUGAGGCGGAUAGAGAUUGGGAUAGGAAAAGGGAGAAGGAACUAGACAGGAGCAGGGAUAGGGAAGAGGAGCUGGACCAAAAAAGGCAGAAAGAAAGAGAGAAAAGCAAAGAUAAAGACAUGUCCAGGGCUAGUGUUAGGCAUAGAGAUAGGAAGAGAGAUAAUGAUAGGUAUAGGGAGAGAGAUAGAGUUAGGGACCGAGAUUGGGAGAGUGAAAGGGAACGGGAGAGGCGAGGUGAUAGGAAUAGGGAAAAGGCCAGGGACAUUAAGAGCGAUUCAAUAAAGGUCUAUAAUUCUCAUGGUGAUUCGUUAAAAGGUGAUAGAGAUAAACUAGAAAGAGACGAGAAAGAACAGGAUGAUUUUGAGGAAAGGAUUUCGUUAAAACUUGCUGAACAGGAGGAAGAUCUUGAUAGAGUUAAGGAGGAGAGUAGAAAGCGCAGGCAAGCUAUCCUUGAAAAAUAUAGGAACCAGCAGUUACAGCAGCAAAAUGAGAGACAACCAAAAGGUGUGGAAAAAGAUGUUGAACCUUCACAAUGUGCCGUCCAAUCACCACCGGCUUCUAAUAUUGCACAAGAAACUGUUGAAAUCAAGAUUGAUGAUGAUGCCUAUGUUGCUGAACCAUCAUUUUCUGUGGGUAAGUUGCCUCCACAAAAUGGAAAAGAGGCUUCUGACGGGACCUCUGGUGCUGUAGGACUUGGAGAGGGUACUCCAAAGAGUGAGGGGUCAGAUGAAAAAUAUUGUGAUGAUAUAUUUGGGGAGACACCAACAGGAGUUCGUAAAUCAGGCAAAGGAGAUGGUUUACCAAUUGUGCGGAGUGGUCUUAAUGACAACUGGGAUGAUGCUGAAGGUUAUUAUGGCUACCGUUUUGGUGAAAUUCUUGAUGGUCGGUAUGAAAUUGUGGCUGCUCAUGGCAAGGGCGUCUUUUCCACAGUAGUUCGUGCCAAGGACUUGAAAGCUGGCAUUGGUGAACCCGAUGAGGUGGCCAUAAAAAUCAUACGUAAUAAUGAAACAAUGCAUAAAGCUGGUCAGACAGAGGUCCAAAUAUUAAAUAAAUUAGCAGGGUCAGAUCCAGAAAACAAGCGCCACUGUGUUCGUUUUCUUUCAAGUUUCAAGUAUAGAAAUCAUCUUUGUUUAGUUUUUGAAUCUCUUCAUAUGAACCUUCGUGAAGUCUUGAAAAAGUUUGGUCGCAAUAUUGGUCUUAAACUAACUGCCGUGAGAACAUAUGCAAAGCAGCUUUUUAUUGCUUUGAAGCAUCUUAAGAACUGUGGUGUUCUCCAUUGUGAUAUAAAGCCUGAUAACAUGCUGGUAAAUGAAGCAAAAAAUGUUUUGAAGCUUUGUGAUUUCGGCAAUGCCAUGUAUUCUGGUAAAAAUGAGGUUACACCAUACCUUGUAAGCCGCUUCUAUCGAGCUCCAGAAAUAAUUCUUGGCUUGACAUAUGAUCAUCCAAUGGAUAUGUGGUCUGUCGGUUGCUGCUUGUAUGAGCUAUAUACUGGAAAAGUUCUUUUUCCAGGCCCUACUAAUAAUGACAUGCUGCGACUUCACAUGGAACUGAAAGGUCCUUUUCCAAAGAAGAUGCUUAGAAAGGGUGCAUUUAUUGACCAGCAUUUUGACCAUGAUUUGAAUUUUCAUGCUAUAGAGGAGGAUCCUCUUACUAAAAAGACUAUAAAGAGGAUGAUUCUAAAUAUAAAGCCAAAAGAUAUUGGAUCAAUCAUUUCUAGCUCUCCUGGGGAGGAUGCAAAGAUGUUAGCCAAUUUUAGAGAUCUUUUAGACAAAAUAUUUGUGUUAGAUCCUGAAAAGAGGUUGACAGUACAACAAGCACAACUGCAUCCAUUCAUCACGGGCAAGUGAACCAUGUUGCUGAUUUUCUGACACCAGAAACGCGUUGCGCUAGAUAUUAGUAUACUGACUUCAUUUUCAGUUAUCUAAUCAUUGGGCAUUAUCUGUCUUUAUUUUCUAUGUGCUGGCCUAUGAGCUUUGGACAGUUAUAGCCAUCAUUGAAGAUAUUUGGUCAGAAGUUCUCUUUACUGGCGGUUCUUUCAGGGGAAUGUACUGUUUCUACUGAUUUGGCUCCUUGCUUUGAGGCAACCCUCCAGUGCUUAAAUGCUUAUAAGGCACCCAGGAGAAGGUACCUUGAAUUGUUUACUGGGACGUUUUCAAACACCCAGAGUACAUAUUGUGAUCUUUUGAUAACUUUUUUGGACUUACAUAGAAUUUUAUGAUUUUAAUUCAUAUGCACUGUUUUGUAUGUGUUUGAAAAUGUUUUAUUAUAUUGCUCAUUUGUGUUUUAUUUGUUUCCUCCGAAAUAAUUCCUUUAUUUUGUUACUAUGGGACCUGUGAGUUAUUUGCUUUGCUUGUGCAUUGGUUUCAAAUGGAAUCUCCUUGUACAUGCACUGUGAACUAUACAUUUGAAAGUGGUAUUACUAUUACCAUGGUUCACCUUUUCCCUAGUCUUGAUGUGUGAGAAUAGAAUGUGACAAGGUGUCUUUAGCAGUCGGCCAGCUAUAUGCCUGUGUGGCUGAGCUAACUAGACAGUAUCUAUGUCUUUGUUUUGUGCGCUGUGAUUUAUAUUUUGUAUUAUCUUUGCAUGUAUCUAUGUUCUAAUAUUUUCUAUGCAUCUGAUCCAUGGACUACUAUGCUGGAGGCGAAUGCUCCUGAGAUGCUGCUUCGACUUUAAAGUUAACAUACAUACUAGGUAUUGCUUUCAUCCCCUUGCCGACUUGUAAGUAUCUGAAAAUUUAUUGUUGGUCAUGUGAAUUAUUUUCCUUAUGAUGAAAUCGAUGGUUUUGAUGUUAAUUUUCCCACCUCUUAUGUCAUAGCAUCAUAAAUAAAUGCUGCUUGAGAUUCGUAGAUUAUGUUUCAUACAUGUGCAUAAUUUUAAUAUUAGCCAUGUUAAGAUAUUAAAACAAGUAAUGCAGCUAAAUACUCAGUUCUAUGAAGCAUAACCUUGGUGUAUAAGGUGUUAUGCUUUAGUUUAAAGAGAUUUGCUCAAAGAACUGGAAAAAUAAAAGGGAAAUAUAACAAGCAUCAUUUAUUUAAGAUAGCGUUUUAUUUGUGUGCUUGGUGAAUGUUUGUGAUCAAUUUUACAAUUUCUGAAAUGCUUGCAAUCAUUGUUCAACUGCUUAAUACUUUCCAUGUGGCUAGACAACCAAAUUUUGUGGUGUUAUCACAAUCUUGUCAAGAUUUUCUGAUCCCCUGGCAAACAAAGUGUGGCUACUGUUAUGAGUUUGAAAUCCCAAAAUGAACCCUUAGGGCUUUAUUCCUUAGCUAGAAGCUAGAUAAAGAGAGUGCAUGAGCAUGAAGGUACCUUUUGCUUUUGUUCGAUCUGCAUAUAGUUUGCUUGAAGCAAGAUUUCAUAUAUUUUCUUAAUGAUAUAAAUAUCAUACAGGAUUUCUAACCAAACUAUAUAUAACAUAAUCUCUGUAACUUCACAAUUUCUUUAUGCAAUCUCUCAAUGUAAAUGCUGAUGUAGCACGAUGUUCUCCUCAGUCUUAUUUCAAUUUAGUUUUGGUGAGUGAUAGAUUUCUUCAAUGAAUAAGCCAUUUAAAACACCCCCAACUUUGUAUUCUGUUAUAAUUAUACCCCAAAUCAAACUUAACCCCUAGGACAACAAUUUCUAAGUUUUGUUAUAACUGCACUCCAAUUUCAAAUUAGGGCUACAUAAAUUCAUAGAAUAAAAAACAUAAAAUGUGACCCACUAUUAGAAUUAACCGAUAAAAGUUAAGUGAAACGGUGCAUUUCACUGUGCACCAGCUUCCACUUAACCCAUAUCUAACUCCUCUCUCCUAGUUUGAAAAUUGCGUGCUUCUUCUUCUUUGUUCUUCUGUUUUUUUUCUUCUUCCAUUUUUUCAUGCUGAAGCCAGAAAAGAAAAAUGAAGAAAAGUUGAAGAAGAUUGUGGAUUGAUAUCUCCAUCAUCUCCCUCCUAUCUGUAGAUCUUGUACAAUAGAGCUUCAAUUUCCCAUGUCCCUCUCCUCCAUGCCGUCCUCAAUAAAAUCUGUUUGACUUUUAAUUCUCUAAAUUACUAGCUUAAACAGAAUGAGGAGUCAUUAGCGUUGGGCGUCUCUGUUUUGCAUCAAUUAUGGCUAUCUUGUAAUUGUGCCUUUCUCAAAUCCUGACUAAGGUAUUUGUUCUCUUUUUUUGUGCUUUUCUCAUUCUUUUUUGUUUUUAAUAAUUCUUUAUUAAAUAGUGUGGUUAUGUGGCAAAAUAGUGUAAUUAUUGAAUUGCUAGUUCUUACUUGGAUUUCUUUUGUUUUUCGUUAUUCAAUAUCUUCAUCAAUCAUUUUCUUCUCCAAUAUAUAAAAGAAAUUGGAUUCAUUUUUGGAAAGAAUUUCUGUUGUAUUUUUCAAAUGGAAUUUUAUUUUUCUGGAAAUAAGAAUUCAUUUGAAUUAUGCUAACCCAAUAUAGUUGUAUUGUGGUUGUUUUUAGGAUUGAUAAUUGGGGCUUAACAUCAUUAGAGAUACCUGUCUUUUAUAUUUGUAAAUUGGUAAGACUGAUGAGAGAAGAGGCACGAAGGAGAGAGAAAAUGGGGUUGAGGGAUUUUGGUUACUGUUGAUGGAAGGGCAGUGGUAGGAGAUGACUGAUGAGGAUAGGUGGGUUAAGUGAAACGCUCCUUUGGGAUAAUUUUAACUGCAGUUACAGAUUUGGGUCCCACUUUAUUAUUAUUUUUUUAUUCAAUUGAGUUGUCUUAAUUUGAAAUUAGGGUGUUCCAGGGGUUAAUUUUGUUUUGGGGUAUAAUUUAUAAUAAAAUGCAAAGUUUGGGGUAUUUAAAUGGUUUACUCUUUCUUCAAUAUAUUUUAUCUACUGAGUGAACAUAAUCUAAAUGGGAAUUCUUGAGGAUUACUAUUGUUUGUUGUCUCAUCAGUUGCAUCUCUGGAGAGCAAUUGCUGGUUAAAAUCUGUUAGCAAAUGUUGUCAUGCUAAGUAUUGGCUGACAAGGAAUUUACUUUCUAGUCUGGGACAUGACAGUGCAUUGACCCUUGCCUUCCCGAAAACUAUAAGCUGGUCUGUGCACUAUACAGGGUACCUUCUGAAAUUUGAGGUUUCAGUUAUUUUCUGUAAGAAAAAAGGAAAACCCCUUUUAGAUAUUGCAAAAACAGUUUUGAAGACCUUGGAAAAGUUUUAGUUAUGUUCAGUAAUUAGUCAAGAUGGUGUUUUUUCCUAAUGGUAGAUACAACAGCAAUGCUCAAUGAACCCUUAAGUUUGUGUUUAGUGAAAACUUCAUUGUCUUUUGAAGCGAUUUAAAAAUGAAUGUUUUUUAUGUUUGAUAUUUUUACUUUUUUGUGUAAGAAAUAUGUGAAGAAUGGCAAAAACCAGCUUGGGAACUCCGGUCCUGGUAUUGAUAACAGCUGGCCUGACCAUAGUUCCCCCUACUCAGACUGAAACCUUAAAUAUGAUUGGAAUUUUCUUCUCUUCUCUAAGUGGUUUUGAUGUUAGCCUCUACUAAAAAGUUAUGCUUCCUACUUUCCUGUCACCAUAUCAUUAGCUUUAAAUCAUAAAAAGACAAGACAAUGUGGGCAAUUGGGUAGAUUUUCUGACUAUAGAUUGUAAGUAUAGUUUACCAAAUUGAGCUAAUAAUGUCUUAGGACAUGCAUGAUUAUGUACAUUUUUAUUUCUUAGGUGGUCUUGCACAGAUAGAAUGCAGCCGUCGUAUUGAUUCCUUAGCCAAGCAAGGAGUUAUCAGGUCAUGGACUUCUUUGAUUGCUUUCUCUUUGCUUUCUUUUUGAGCAUCAUAGGUUUCAAAAUUUAUGCAAUUAUUUGAGGUGGUUGUUUUAGGUUUUGCAUCUUGAUUAGGGAAUUGUUUUACUAGUGUGGAUAGUCUACAUACUCUUUUGUAUUCUUAUGAUCUGUUAUUUUUAUGUGGAGGCAUUAUUAAGAGUCCUUGUCCAUCUUAGGUUUUGUUUCUUACACAUACUUCUAAAAUUUAAAAAGAAAAUAGAACUGUUUGUGCUUUGUCUUUUUCUGUCUCAUCGACUUGUAGCUCUUGCUAAAAAACUUAAGAUUAUAUUGGAACAAUUCAUAACUUGAUCUGAUAUCUGUAAUUGUUUCCAUUUUCGUGGAGAGAAAUAGAACAAGAUAACUGGGGGAAAACAGUGGAUUCUUUUGUGGCGAGAGAUAAAAAAAAGUGAAAAAAAAAAAAAAUCUAAAACCGUGGUGGAAUUUUGAAUUGGAAACUUGAAUUUAUUUGAAAAUGAUUAAGUUGGAUAUUUUAGUCCAUUUCCUUUUUUGGUUGUGGCCUCUAACUAAUUUUGCGGAAGUAAGGGUUGCCUUUUUUAUUAUAGAUUGUGUCUAAAUAGGAAAGAGCUUUGCGGUGUUAAAUUUCGAACUUUGGGAUGAUGGUUGAAAUCCUGCCUUUCUUGUCUUAAUUAAAAUUAUUCAAUUUGUGCAUAAGACAAACAAACAUUAGGAAAUUUGAACUACAAGUGUGUUGCUUGAUACCUGAUGGCACCUGUAGAAAAAGUAAACUUAAUUUUAUGUUCAUAUUUCCCUUUGAAGUACUGGUGUACUUGAAUAUUGCAUGGCCCUUGAAUCUUUUAGUGCGCUGAAUCACAUGUAUGUCAACCAUAUCUGAAAUGAAGAUUGGCCUUUGAAGUCCAAAGAAGGGGUCUCCAAGGUGAAAUUGCUAUUUGCUUUCAUUCUUUUUAUGGGGUCACAACACAGCAGUGUAGGGCGACCCUAUAGUGAACAUCCUUCAGAGGAAAAAUGAUAUUCAGAAAUGGAGUUACUCAUUCUUUUCUCGUCUUUUUUUUUUUUUUUUUUUUUUCUCGUCUUUUUUUUUUUUUUUGUUUUUUUUUUUUUUUUUUGUUGUUGUCUUAGUGAAACUAGUAUUAUUUUUGUUUUCUCAUUUUUUCAAGUUUUCUAAAUGUUCAUUGCAUUUCAGUAUCAUUAUUUUUUCAUUUUUUUUAUCCUUUUUUAGUACAUUUCCUUUUGGGUUUUAUGGACAGUCCCUGACCACAAUUUUGGAGAAUUCGUUGCUUGUAUCUUCAAAACAACAAACCUUGAUUUGUUGUUUUGAAGUGAAUCUCUGUGAUUGUUACUGCAGGUGCAUUUUCUUUAAGUGAAAUAGAAUCUUUGGUUUCUGCUGGAACAAGAUUUGUGUUCUUCUAUAGCCUAAUAUUUUUCUGCAGCCAUGGCUGCAACAUAUCCUAUAAUAGCUUGAAGCUAUGAUAUCACUGUUGCUUUAUAAGUUUUAUGCAUUACGCUUACCUGGUGAUGAUGUGAUUUCUUGAAUAGCAUUUACAUAAUUUGCUUUGUUUGACUUUUGAAUCCUUCAAAUAUGUGAUUAUAUAUUCGAGGGGCUUCAUAGCUCUGUAUUGCAGUGGGACUUCUGUAGCUUUUCCAAAACAAGAUAUAAUGUAGUCAACAUUUGGUGGGUAUGCAUAUGAGAUUAAAAGAGUUGGGUUUGGGUACGAUAUUUUUGUGGGUGCAACAUUUCUGUUAGCUGUUCAAAGACUUGAGCAAUCCUGGGAGAAGUGAAUUGAGCAAUGUCAGCGUCUUCUACCUUGAUAUCUGUCCUCCCUAUUGGUUAUAAUGAAGUACAACAGAUUUUGCCGUUUUCAGUUUGUGCUUCAGCCAACUUCAUAUUCAAUGUAAUGUUUGUUAGUAAAAAAUGUUAUUGAUCGUUCGGGAUGAAACGGUGGUUUUGGAGUGAUGAUGCCACAUUUUCAUUUUGUAUCAAGUAUUGCCAUUUAGGAUUCCUGCUGGCCUUUUA